rnacentral:rRNA from 1 species
AGAUUGAACGCUGGCGGCAGGCCUAACACAUGCAAGUCGAGCGGCAGCACGGGUACUUGUACCUGGUGGCGAGCGGCGGACGGGUGAGUAAUGCCUAGGAAUCUGCCUGAUAGUGGGGGAUAACGUUCGGAAACGGACGCUAAUACCGCAUACGUCCUACGGGAGAAAGUGGGGGAUCUUCGGACCUCACGCUAUCAGAUGAGCCUAGGUCGGAUUAGCUAGUUGGUAGGUAAAGCCUACCAAGGCUACGAUCCGUAACUGGUCUGAGAGGAUGAUCAGUCACACUGGAACUGAGACACGGUCCAGACUCCGUACGGGAGCAGCAGGUGGGAAUAUUGGACAAGUGGGACGAAAGCCUAGAUCCAGCCAUGCCGCGUGUGUGAAGAGGUCUUCGGAUUGAAAGCUAGUUAGUGGAGAGGUCAUUAACCUAUACGUUAGUGUUU